rnacentral:tRNA from 1 species
UCCCUGAUGGUACAGUGGGUGGGAGUCCACCUGCCAGUGCAGGGGACACAGGUUCAAUCCCUGGUCUGGGAG